rnacentral:rRNA from 1 species
AUUGAACGCUGGCGGCAUGCUUUACACAUGCAAGUCGGGCGGCAGCGCGGGGGCAACCCUGGCGGCGAGCGGCGAACGGGUGAGUAACACAUCGGAACGUGCCCAAUCGUGGGGGGAUAACGUAGCGAAAGCUACGCUAAUACCGCAUACGAUCUACGGAUGAAAGCGGGGGAUCGCAAGACCUCGCGCGAAUGGAGCGGCCGAUGGCAGAUUAGGUAGUUGGUGGGGUAAAGGCUCACCAAGCCGACGAUCUGUAGCUGGUCUGAGAGGACGACCAGCCACACUGGGACUGAGACACGGCCCAGACUCCUACGGGAGGCAGCAGUGGGGAAUUUUGGGACAAUGGGCGCAAGCCUGAUCCAGCCAUUCCGCGUGCAGGAUGAAGGCCU